GGGAGAUGAGGAACAGCGUGGCCGCCUUCGCAGCCGAUCCUCUGGCCCUCCUGCGGAACGUCUGAGCGGUGACACGCCCGCCGGGCGGGAACGGCCUUUCCCGUGGGAUGCGAUCCCGGUGCUCCCAUCGUUCCUGGAAAGGGUGGGGUGUCCCCUCCAUGCUGGGAAGGGUGACAAGAGCCUCUCAACUACCCCCCCCGAAAAACUGAGGAGGGGAUAAAUCCGGUCUCUGUCCCCUCCUCCAGGGGUGGGGGGGGGGUGGCAGGAGCCGCCCCCGCUUCCCGCUGCCGCCUCUCGGGAAUAUUAAAGGUUUUUGGGAAAUGGUG